rnacentral:rRNA from 1 species
UUAAAUUGAAGAGUUUGAUCAUGGCUCAGAUUGAACGCUGGCGGCAGGCCUAACACAUGCAAGUCGAACGGUAACAGGAAGCAGCUUGCUGCUUUGCUGACGAGUGGCGGACGGGUGAGUAAUGUCUGGGAAACUGCCUGAUGGAGGGGGAUAACUACUGGAAACGGUGGCUAAUACCGCAUAACGUCGCAAGACCAAAGAGGGGGACCUUCGGGCCUCUUGCCAUCAGAUGUGCCCAGAUGGGAUUAGCUUGUUGGUGAGGUAACGGCUCACCAAGGCGACGAUCCCUAGCUGGUCUGAGAGGAUGACCAGCCACACUGGAACUGAGACACGGUCCAGACUCCUACGGGAGGCAGCAGUGGGGAAUAUUGCACAAUGGGCGCAAGCCUGAUGCAGCCAUGCCGCGUGUAUGAAGAAGGCCUUCGGGUUGUAAAGUACUUUCAGCGGGGAGGAAGGUGUUGUGGUUAAUAACCGCAGCAAUUGACGUUACCCGCAGAAGAAGCACCGGCUAACUCCGUGCCAGCAGCCGCGGUAAUACGGAGGGUGCAAGCGUUAAUCGGAAUUACUGGGCGUAAAGCGCACGCAGGCGGUCUGUCAAGUCGGAUGUGAAAUCCCCGGGCUCAACCUGGGAACUGCAUUCGAAACUGGCAGGCUUGAGUCUUGUAGAGGGGGGUAGAAUUCCAGGUGUAGCGGUGAAAUGCGUAGAGAUCUGGAGGAAUACCGGUGGCGAAGGCGGCCCCCUGGACAAAGACUGACGCUCAGGUGCGAAAGCGUGGGGAGCAAACAGGAUUAGAUACCCUGGUAGUCCACGCCGUAAACGAUGUCUACUUGGAGGUUGUGCCCUUGAGGCGUGGCUUCCGGAGCUAACGCGUUAAGUAGACCGCCUGGGGAGUACGGCCGCAAGGUUAAAACUCAAAUGAAUUGACGGGGGCCCGCACAAGCGGUGGAGCAUGUGGUUUAAUUCGAUGCAACGCGAAGAACCUUACCUGGUCUUGACAUCCACGGAAGAAUUCAGAGAUGGAUUUGUGCCUUCGGGAACCGUGAGACAGGUGCUGCAUGGCUGUCGUCAGCUCGUGUUGUGAAAUGUUGGGUUAAGUCCCGCAACGAGCGCAACCCUUAUCCUUUGUUGCCAGCGGUUAGGCCGGGAACUCAAAGGAGACUGCCAGUGAUAAACUGGAGGAAGGUGGGGAUGACGUCAAGUCAUCAUGGCCCUUACGACCAGGGCUACACACGUGCUACAAUGGCGCAUACAAAGAGAAGCGACCUCGCGAGAGCAAGCGGACCUCAUAAAGUGCGUCGUAGUCCGGAUUGGAGUCUGCAACUCGACUCCAUGAAGUCGGAAUCGCUAGUAAUCGUGGAUCAGAAUGCCACGGUGAAUACGUUCCCGGGCCUUGUACACACCGCCCGUCACACCAUGGGAGUGGGUUGCAAAAGAAGUAGGUAGCUUAACCUUCGGGAGGGCGCUUACCACUUUGUGAUUCAUGACUGGGGUGAAGUCGUAACAAGGUAACCGUAGGGGAACCUGCGGUUGGAUCACCUCCUUACCUGAAAGAA